GAUGAACGCUGGCGGCGUGCUUAACACAUGCAAGUCGAACGGAAAGGCCCUGCUUUUGUGGGUUGCUCGAGUGCCGAACGCGUGAGUAACACGCGAGUAACCUGCCCUUGACUUUGUGAUAACUCCAGGAAACUGGGGCUAUUACCGCAUAUGAUAUCCUGCUGCACGUGGGGCGUUGGAAAGUUUCGGCUGUUGGGGAUGGACUCGCGGCUUAUCAGCUUGUUGGUGAGGUAGUGGCUUACCAAGGCUUCGACGGGUAGCCGGCCUGAGAGGGUGACCGGGCACAUUGGGACUGAGAUACGGACCAGAAGGCUACGGGAGGCAGAAGUGGGGAGUAUUGCACAAUGGGCGGAAGCGUGAGGCAGCAGCGCCGGGUGCGGGAAGACGGCUUUCGGGUUGUAAACAGAUGUGGCAUGAGACAAAGCGUGAGUGACGGUAAUGGGUAAAGAAGCAACGGCUAACUACGUG
rnacentral:rRNA from 1 species